AUGCGUAGGGAGCGAGCGUUGUCCGGAAUUACUGGGUGUAAAGGGAGCGUAGGCGGGUGUGCAAGUCAGAUGUGAAAUACAUGGGCUCAACCCAUGGGCUGCAUUUGAAACUGCAGGACUUGAGUGCUGGAGGGGAUAGCGGAAUUCCUAGUGGAGCGGUAAAAUGCGCAGAUAUUAGGAAGAACACCGGUGGCGAAGGCGGCUAUCUGGACAGUAACUGACGCUGAGGCCCGAAAGCGUGGGGAGCAAACAGGAUUAGAUCCCCUGUUAGCCCACGCCGUAAACGAUGAAUACUAGGUGUAGGGGGUAUCGACUCCCUCUGUGCCGCAGUUAACACAAUAAGUAUUCCGCCUGGGGAGUACGGCCGCAAGGUUGAAACUUAAAGGAAUUGACGGGG
rnacentral:rRNA from 1 species